rnacentral:misc_RNA from 1 species
UCCCUGUUGCCAGGGCAGUCUAGCCAGAGAAAUCCAACUGACUAUAAGGGUUGCGCUCGUUGAUGGACUUAACCAAACAUCUCACGACACGAGCUGACGACGGCCAUGCAUCACCUGUCACUGCGUUCCCGAAGGCACAGUCUCCUUUCGGAGACCUCCGCAGGAUGUCAAACCUGGGUAAGGUUCUUCGCUUAUCAUCGAAUUAAACAACACGCUCCACCGCUUGUGCGGGUCCCCGUCAAUUCCUUUAUGUUUUAAGCUUGCGCUCGUACUCCACAGGCGGGAUGCUUAACGCGUUAGCUUCGCUACUACCAGGGUCGAUACUGGUAACAGCUAGCAUCCAUAGUUUACGGCGUGGACUA